AUUGAACGCUGGCGGAAUGCUUUACACAUGCAAGUCGAACGGCAGCACGGACUUCGGUCUGGUGGCGAGUGGCGAACGGGUGAGUAAUGUAUCGGAACGUGCCCAGUCGUGGGGGAUAACGUAGUGAAAAUUACGCUAAUACCGCAUACGAUCUAUGGAUGAAAGCGGGGGAUCGCAAGACCUCGCGCGAUUGGAGCGGCCGAUAUCAGAUGAGGUAGUUGGUGGGGUAAAGGCCCACCAAGCCAACGAUCUGUAGCUGGUCUGAGAGGACGACCAGACACACUGGAACUGAGAAACGAUCCAGACUCCUACGGGAGGCAGCGGUGGGGAAUUUUGGACAAUGGGCGAAGGCCUGAUCCAGCCAUUCCGCGUGCAGGAUGAAGGCCCUCGGGUUGUAAACUGCUUUUGUACAGAACGAAAAGGUUUCUACUAAUACUAGGAGCUCAUGACGGUACUGUAAGAAUAAGCACCGGCUAACUACGUGCCAGCCGCCGCCGUAA
rnacentral:rRNA from 1 species